UGAGGAGCACCACAACAAGGCCCAUGAGUCUGAGACCCCAGUUGUUGUUGAGGGGUCAGCUGUGGAAUCCAAGGAUCGUGGGCUGUUUGAUUUCAUGGGGAAGAAAGAGGAAGAGAAGCCUCAAGGGGAGGUGAUCGUCACUGAGUUUGAAGAGAAGGUUCAGGUGUCUGAACCAGAGGAGAAGAAGCCUGGUCUGUUGGAGAAGCUUCAUCGAUCGGAUAGCAGCUCUAGUUCUGUAAGUGUAAAUUUCAAUACCAGUAUGAUCAACUACUUAUCUUAUAAAUUUUGUACUCACUGCAUUUGAAAUCUUGCAGUCUAGUGAUGAGGAAGAAGGCGAGGGAGAGCAGAAGAAGAAGAAGAAGGAAAAGAAGGGAUUGAAGGAGAAGAUCAAGGAGAAGAUAUCUGGAGAUCACAAAGAAGAAAAGAAAGAAGAGGACACCACAGUCCCUAUUGAGAAAUACGAAGAAGCAGAAGCAGCAAAUCAAGCCGAUGAAAAGAAAGGUUUUCUAGAGAAAAUCAAAGAGAAACUGCCAGGACACAACAAGAAGCCUGAAGAGGUAGCUACGCCGCCUCCACCGCCACCACCAACUGAGCAUGUUCAUGCAGAGUCAGCCUCUCAUGAAGGAGAAGCAAAGGAGAAGAAGGGUAUCUUUGAGAAGAUUAAGGAAAAGCUUCCUGGGUAUCAUCCAAAAACAGAGGAAGAGAAGGAAAAAGAAAAAGAGUCUCAUUAAUAAACAAAAAUCAGUAUUUUCUCCAGAAGCAUAUGUGUGGUUUAUAAUGUUAAUCGAU
rnacentral:lncRNA from 1 species